rnacentral:rRNA from 1 species
CCUACGGGAGGCUGCAGUGGGGAAUAUUGGACAAUGGGCGAAAGCCUGAUCCAGCCAUGCCGCGUGUGUGAAGAAGGCCUUCGGGUUGUAAAGCACUUUCAGUGGGGACGAAAGCCUUGGGGCUAAUACCCUCGAGGAAGGACAUCACCCACAGAAGAAGCACCGGCUAACUACGUGCCAGCAGCCGCGGUAAUACGGAGGGUGCGAGCGUUAAUCGGAAUUACUGGGCGUAAAGCGCGCGUAGGCGGUCUGAUAAGCCGGUUGUGAAAGCCCCGGGCUCAACCUGGGAACGGCAUCCGGAACUGUCAGGCUAGAGUGCAGGAGAGGAAGGUAGAAUUCCCGGUGUAGCGGUGAAAUGCGUAGAGAUCGGGAGGAAUACCAGUGGCGAAGGCGGCCUUCUGGACUGACACUGACGCUGAGGUGCGAAAGCGUGGGUAGCAAACAGGAUUAGAUACCCUAGUAGUC